GUGUUACAGCCAAAAGGAGAGACGGUUGGCACUCCCCUUGACAAGGAUGGAUGAACGGAUUGUACAGUUGUUGUUUCGGUGUUUCUCUUGUAAUUUGUUAUUUAUACAUUUUUAU